rnacentral:rRNA from 1 species
UACGUAGGUGGCUAGCGUUGUCCGGAUUUACUGGGCGUAAAGGGCGCGUAGGCGGGUGCUCAAGUCUGUGGUGAAAUCCUCCGGCUCAACCGGAGAACGGCCAUGGAUACUGGGUGCCUCGAGGGUGAUAGGGGUAUGCGGAACUAUCGGUGGAGCGGUGAAAUGCGUUGAUAUCGAUAGGAACUCCGGUGGCGAAGGCGGCAUACUGGAUCACUUCUGACGCUGAGGCGCGAAAGCCAGGGGAGCGAACGGG